UGUUAGUCAUCGCAGAAUUUCAUCUUUUUCUUUAGCCCUAGUUGCUGAUCUUUCUUGAUUCCUUUUCCUUAUUUUUUCAUCGAAAAAUAAAGAAAGAAUUCAUGGGGUUCAAAUCAAGAUAUCAAGACCUGACUUGUUAUUUUGAAACAGUCCCAAUAGGAAGAAGUAGUACGCGACGUUACCUACAAAGUACAAGAGAGGCUCAAAGAUGGAUUUGGCGCCCAACAAUUCCUUCAUGGGAGAAGGAAUUUUGUUGUCGAAAGAUUGGUUCAUUCACCUGAGAAAAUUUCUUGAAUUACAAGAAGUGUAUAUAUCACUUUGAAAAAAUAUUGAAUUGGAAUGACUUAGCUACUGAGGAAGCAUUUCAGCAUGCCAAGAAUAGAUUUUAUGCUGAGUUUCACAACUUUCCUUUUGUUGAAACUUUCAAGCUAGACCCUAAUCUCUAUAUUGAUGAAAUUGAUUGGAAUUCAGAAAUUGAUGCCAAAUUACAUGAGGAGUUAGAGUUGUCAUUAGUGCAAGAGGAAGAAGGAGAAGAAGAUGAAAAUUUGACCCAAAGUUACUCGAGAAGAACUUAUGACAUACCAAUUAAGGAAACCAGUCCUACAGGUAGGGUGUUCACAGUUUGGAUAAAAAUGGAUCCGAACCACUAACUGAACCAUGCCGAUUAAAUAAAUCGAUAGUUAUUUGGGUUUGGUUUAGUUUGAUUUUAAAUUUUAAAAAUCGAUAAUAUUUGGUUUGGUUUGGUUUUAUUAAAACCAAACUGGACCGAACCGACAAAAUAAUUAAUAUAUAUAUAUAUAUAUGUAUGAAUAAUUUUAGAUACUUCAUUUACUUUUUCAUCAAAAUUUUGUUUAUCUCUAUUAGUCUAAUGAAACUUGCAUCUUAAGAUCAUUUAAAAAAAAAAAACUAUGAAUCCAAAUUUAUUUAUUCAAAGAAACAACUACUAUGAGAUUUACCUAAAAAAAAAAAAAAUUCUUAUUAACUUAAGACAUUUGUUUUCAUAAUCCAAGAAAAUUAUAGCUCCCACAAUAAAAUGGUAAUAAUGGAUUAUAAGUUGGAAAAUUAUGGCAAAGUUUGAAUAUCCUAAUCGUAGACAAAAAUGAAAGAGAGAAAUACCCUUAGGUUUCUUAAAAACCGAAAAAAAGAACCAAACCGAACUAAACCUAACCGAUGGAUAUGUAUUAUAUUUUGUUUGGUUUGGUUUUUGUAAUUGAAAAACCGACUAAUUUGGUUUGAUUCUGGUUUUAACCAAACAUCAACCCAAACUGAACUAUGAACACCCCUACCUACUGGUUGGAAUAAUGAUUAUGUCGAUAAAUGGAAUGUUUUGACUGGUCUUAUUGUGGGCAAUCAUAGCAAUUGUGGAGAAGGUGCUCAAUACGUACCGGUUUCUACUAUCUAUCAACAACAAUGUAGAUGGCAAGAAGGCAUAUUUUGUACAUAUAGUCUUACAUCUGUAUUAUUCUGCAUAAUGCUUUUCCUCCAUACUAAAUCGAUCCAAACUGUAGAAAAAAUUC